rnacentral:pre_miRNA from 1 species
UCCAGCCAGCCGAAUCCACAAGCGGGGAGGGCAGGGUCACCAAAUCUAGUGGUCCCGGUCUCCUUGCUAGCCAAUGCGGCGGAGGUA